rnacentral:lncRNA from 1 species
UAGAACGUAAGCUGCAUUGAAAAUCUCCUCUCACGUUUACGUAUGACACUAAAAUUGAAACACCUGUCUUAUCACUUCAACCUCUAUCCUUGUAUCAACGUUUUAUCAUAUUACUUUUAGAGUGCUGCUAGGUAGCGGGAGGAACGAGAGAAUGACGAGAGAAACGGCAUUCUCUCCUGUCGUUUCGCUUCUCGUUCCUCUCGCUAAAGAAUGAAUAAAAAAUAAUAAAGAAAGACUGCUUUUAUCACUUCGUGCAGAGUAAAAUUUUAGCAUUUUGUCUCCAGCCCUCACUCUUCCUCUCUCCCUCACUUUCCUCUCUCCCUCACGCUUCCAGAAGCUCCGUCACGGGUUCCCGCGUGCCUCACGCUUCCAGAUCCCUCACGGCUUCCUUCCGGCGUGCCUCACGCUUCCAGAUCCCUCACGGCUUCCUUCCGGCGUGACUCACGCUUCCAGAUCCCUCACGGCUUCCUUCCGGCGUGCCUCACGCUUCCAGAAGUUCCCUCACGGCUUCCGGCGUGCCUCACGCUUCCAGAUCCCUCACGGCUAAAGUUCUUGAUUACCUUUGCUUCGUACAAAAAGGGAAGGCUUUGCACUAGUAAUUUUUUUUUUUCUCGGCUAAAGUUCUUUAACGAAGGGGAAGGCUUUGCACUAGUAGUUUUUUUUCUCGGCUUUGCACUAGCAAAGACAUUCUCUCGAUCAUUUCUCACCUUAUGUAACCGGCCCCUCUCUCUCCCUAAUCCUCUAAAGUUAUUCAUAUUUCCUAAAUUCCAUUUUUCUCUUUUCUUCCCCAUUUUUUUUUUCUAUGUAUGUAUCUCUGAAUAUGCUGAAUUACUGGAUAUUAUGAAUUACUUGACCACUUUCGAUCUCCGGAUGGACCUAUUUUUUUGAGGAUUUGUGGUGAAUAUACUUGCGAUGGCAUACCAAAUGAUUAUCUUGGUGUAAGUUUUAAUUGUAUCCUUAACUAAUAUAAUUAAAAAAAAAAAAAAGAACAUUCAUGGUUAUUGUUGAGUGGCUAGAAUAAUUUGAGGAAUAUUUGGACACAUGUAUCAUUGGAUAGGUUCUGGCAAAGAAGUUUGGAGCAGCUGUGGUUUCACUUGAACAUCGUUACUAUGGGAAGAGCUCACCAUUUAAAUCAUUAUCGACAGAAAAUUUGAAAUAUCUUUCAUCUAAGCAGGCACUCUUUGACUUGGCCAU